rnacentral:lncRNA from 1 species
GUGAAAAGAACAAAGUUUUGUCCAUCUUUUUUCAUCAUAGCCUAAAGUUAGAGAAGAGAAAGGAGAGGAAAAAGAUCUUGAAUGUUCGGUCACUUGGGGAAGAAAAUUGAAGGUAAGUUCAUAGUAGUUUGCUUCUAUCUUGAUGUUCAUGAGUUCUUCUUGAUUCUACCUUAACUCUUGAAGCAUAUUUUGGUUUUUGGUUGUGUUGUGAGCAUUUGGUCAUGAAUUCAAAUGAAGGAAAUGGUUGUUGUUUCAUUUUCUUUUGAUGAAAAAUGGAAGAUAUGUGAAGUUGAGCCAAACAAAUAAGCAUGCAUGUGCUUAGAUGCUAAGGGGAAAAAUCGGCUAAUAUGUUGUGCUUUAAAAUGAUGAAAUGGAGAUUAUACUUAAGUAAAAUCAUAGAUAUGUGAUGAUUGAUUGGUGAUAUACAUGUUUAAAUAACAAGCAUGCAAGUUAGGUGUGAAAGAGUGAUUUGGUAAAAAAUCCGCUUGGGACAGCAGCAGUAACGUGACUUUGGAAAAUCACCAUAAAUUGUGGGAGAUGAGUUAGAAGCUGCAUAAAUUAUGUAAUUAAAGCUUAAUGAGUCUAGUUUCAAAUGAAUAAACGAGAACAUAUUUUGAAUUCUGUACAAUGAGAAAUUUGAUUCGUAAUGAAGAGUGGUCAGAUUAGUCAAACAGUGAAACAUGAGAAACUUUGAGAAAAAUCUGGUAUUGAUUGGCCAAACCAAAAAUUCUGAAAAUUUUAUGGAUAUAAGAUAUGAGUCUAUUUUCAGGGAAAAUUAACGGCACUUGAUUUGGAGUUUCGUAUCUCCAGUUAUAAAUGAUUUAGUGACUGUUGCUCAGGAAGACAGCUUGCAGUGAAAUUAUGAUUAUGUGGUAAACAUUGACAAAAAUUUGUUAAUGAGUUGCUUAUUAAUUUCUUAUAAGCUUACUAUGAUCUGUAGGUGUGGUUGGCCAAAUAUUGUAAGGGGUUAAUACGUAGUUCGUAUUUGAAUAGUUAGAUUAACGUGUUAGUAAUCCAAUUGUAGGCAGUUCGUGUGUGGAUCUCGUCAGCAUAUCGUCACAAACGUGUGUGUAACUAACACCAUCUUUCUUAGUCUAGAUCGGCAAAAGUUGAAAAGCCGAAAUGCCGAAAAUUGAUAUUUUGUAGAUUUGCGAGUGUGCGAAUGCUCGUAAGGUAAAUCGAUUCAUGUUUUUGGUAAGCUGCAAUGUUUGGACUGCAAAGUGCAUGAUUUCUAUGCCCUCGAUAUUUUGGGCUUAAUGGGUCAAAAUUUGAAUGAUGGGCCAACGGGCCCAAUUCGGUAAGAACCCCCGGUACGUGAUUCUGUUAGUACGCCAAAAGUAGGAAUAUGCAUGAAAAAUCCUAAAAUAGAUAAAUUACUGAAAUACCUUUAAAAGUGGAAAAUUUACAGUUUUACCCCUAGGAUAUAAAUUACCGCAAUACCCCUAGGGUUAAAUUGACUUAAAUGCAUGUUUGACUGUUGUUAUUUACUGCAUGCCAUGUUGUUAUUAUCUGAUGCAUGGGAUUGGGAUAUUGACGAAGGAAGUACUGAAAGUGGCUUGUCCACGUACUGGAGGCUUUGCCUCAAUUUACUGUUAACUGAGCAGCAAGGCUGCAACUGUGGAGUGUUGGGCCGGGUAGGUUGAGCUAUUCCCCACAUAGAGUGUAGGGCUGGUACGGGUGGAGUGUAGUGGUUGGUGGGUUGAGUAGUCUCCCCAAAUGGGCUUGCAUAUGUUAUUGAUGUUGCAUGUAUUUUGAAAUGGGCCUAUGGGCCUUACUGUUAUCUUAAUAAGGGGCUAAGGCCCGGUUUAUUGUAAUCUGAAAAGGGUUCUGGUCCAGUACCACUGUUACCUGAAUGGGCUUAGGCCCAAUAGGCUUGAGCUGACUUGGGCUUUGAAUGGGUUCUCCUUACACACUGAGUUUCCCCAAACUCACCCUUUUUAUUUUCAUCCACGCAGGAAAUCCCCAACCAUAGUGGGCUUGGAGCUGUGAGGGAAUUCGGAGUGGCCACCCGUUCUGAAAGUUUGGUUUUCUUCUGGUGAACUGGACAUCCUAUUAUUUACGUUGAGGUUUGGGUUUUUAAAUGUAAUAAGGCCGCUUAAUUAUUUUUGAUGGUUUUUAAUAUGUAUUACUAAGAUAGGUAUUACUUAUUUUAAUUGUUGAAAUUGGAUAGCUUUAGGGCGCGUUUUCAAAAAAAAACAACAAUUGAUUUCAAAAUAACACGACAACAAGCAAAGCUUCCGCAAUGAAAGUAUUUUCCAAAAUUAAUCACUUUUCCUAAAACUGACUUAAUCAAAUCGGUUUCCUAGAAAUAUACAUGACGUUAAGGUGUGGCAAUGGCGGUGUGCAUGUCUAGGAUUGGAUCCGAAGGGAGCUUGGUACUUAAGUAGUCCGAUAGACUCACCUCCUCUUUUCUGGUUUCCUAUCUGGUGCACAGCUUCCAUUCACUUUAACCUAUAAUGAAAUUAUCUUUUAAAACACUAAGUAGGUUUUUCUGGAUCAAAAAUAUAAAAUGUUUUGACCGCUUCGAUGUGGCAUGUCGGAUCCGGCCAUAAUGUCUGGGCCGGGUUUGGGGUGUUACAAUGUCUUUGUGCUUGAUUUGAAUUGUAUUUGUGAUUUAUAAAUGUACGAUUGAAAUGAUUAUAUAUCCGACAAAGCCCGAUGAUUGGUAAUUUUUGAAAUAAAUGAUAAUACUCGUAAAGUGAUCAAUGACUAAAAUGUCAUUGCUGAGCUUGAAUUAAAUGUGAAAUUGUAAAUUACAUAAAUGCGUAACAUUAUGAGAUUGGAAAUAUAUCCAACAAUUUCUUGAUAAAUGCUAAAUCCCGUUUGAAUAAAUGAAAGUCGAUGGAUAAAGGUGAUUACCGAUAUGAAAUGUGAUCUUGCAUGUGUUGCAGAAAGGUUGUCCCGAAAGGGUAAUCUUUUGAUCUCAUUAUGGAAAGGAAAUGUACACCUUGUGUGUACCAUAUGAAAAGGGAUAGCUUCGGCUAUCGAAUGUCAAAAGGAAAGGUAUACUUUGUGUGUACCACAUGAAAAGGCUAUGUAUACUUUGUGUGUACUCUUAAAAAGGUGGACUUUGUGUGUACCAUUUGAAAAGGGAAUGUAUACUCUGUGUGUACCAUUUCAAAAGGAAAGGUAUACUUUGUUUAUACCAUUUGAAAAGGAAAUGUACACCUCAAGUGUACUUCUGGAAAAGGAAAUAUCCAUCGAUGUUUUCAAUGAUUCAACGGGUAAAAUUGUGACAUGAAAAGAAAAAAGAUUAUUCAUGUGUUCACUUGGAAAAUAUGAAAUGAUGUUACAUGAAAUAGAAUAUGUAAAUAUGAGAUGUUUAUAUGUGAAUAUGAGCGGUUUGACGAAUACAUUCAUCCAUGAAAAUAUAUUGCUACAGUUUGAGCGUAUCACCCGAGUGAUUAUUAGUACUUCAAUCGAUUAUUGAAUAAAGUUCUGACAAGAAAUAUACUGGAAAUUUAGAUGAAAUGAUAUGAAAUGUAUUUGAAAUACAUGAAAAUAAUUGACAUACAAGUUAUAUGAAUACAUGAGGUGGAAAAACAUAUGUAAAUCUGAAUAUGGAUGAGUUUGUAUAUGUGUUUAUUGUGGGUUACAUGAAUCAUAUGACUAACAUGGAUAAUGAGAAUGUGUGAUAGAGCUUGAGUACAAAUGGUAUAACUAUGCCUUGCAUGUUUAAUCUGAGUGAGAGUGGUUGGUAAGUUGAUUACCAAGUUAUACAGACUUACUAAGUAUUAUAUGCUUACUUUGUUGUAUUUUUCCCUGUUUUAUAGUAAAUCAAAAGCUCGCUGGAUUGGAAGCUCAGUAGAGACCACUCACACUAUCCAUCGUUCCAAUUUGGUAAAAAAAGGUAUAACAAUUGUAGUUAUAAUGGCAUGUAUAGGUUAAUAGACAAUGAUUAACAUGUAAAUACUUGAAAGUGACUAGCCAUUGGAAUGGCUAGCUAUAGACAUACCUUGGUGUUAUGUAUAAAAGUCUAUAUCAUGAUAUACAAGUUGAAAUGGAUAAUGAAUGAAUAAAUUAAGUUUGUAAUUUUGGCACAAUAUGCAUAAAUAUGAACAAGGAAAGUAGAUAGACAUGAAUAUAAAUUGUCAUUUGAGGUACCUACGAGUACAUUGGUUGGAUGUAGUUAUAUGACAUGUAUAAGACUUGAUUUUGAUAUGAAUUAACUAUCUUGAAAUGAGUUUAUCAAUACACAUAUGUGUUAGUGUAAAUGGAUAACAAGUUGGGUAAGAAAUAUAGCUUGGAAAAUAGCCUAUUUUCAUCCACAUGGUUAGACACACGGGCGUGUGUCUAGGCCGUGUGUGA